rnacentral:lncRNA from 1 species
CUUGAGGAAGGAGGGCUGUCUCCAAGUUUGUGUUGUUACUGAAACCUCCUGUACUAUUGCUGUCCCAAACAUUCAUCUGCAUAUCUGUUUAACAGGAAAAUGGGCAGAAAGCAGCCAAACCUCAGGCCUGGCCACGGCCCCUGUUCCAGCCCAGCCUGGGAAAAUGGCUGGUGGGGCUCUGUCCAAGGGCCCCAGGGCCCUGCAGGAGGCUCCUUGACCAUUGAACCCUGCUGUCCAGGGGAGAAGGAACUGGCCAGGUCCUAGCAGCUGCUGAGGUGAAUGAGUCUCUGGACUUUGGAAGUGGGUAUGGCUAGCAGGGUUAGAAGCCUACCUUCUGUGUCUGUGUGAAGAUCUUUCUAAAGGACUGAUCUUCCUACAGGAAGUAGAGGGGAGGCCAAGGAUGUGGCCUUCCAAGAAGGAAGGUGCGCUAGGUGGGCCAAGCAACUGAAGGCCCAGUAUGGCUCAAACAUAUACCCGAGGCAAGGCUGAGAUGAGAGGCCUUCCCGUCUCUGAGAGUGUGGUGGACAAAAUUGUAGUUCCCGGGUUCUUAACCUUGGCUUUCCAGAGACUCCCCUGGGUUGUUUCCCAAAAUCCUAAUACCCAAGCCCCUUCCCAGAUCAACAAAAUCAGGAUCUCAAGGGUGAGCCUCGGGUACCAGGCAUCAGAAUUUUUAAAAGACAUCUCAAGUGAUUCAAAGGUAACCCAGGGUGAGAAGCAGCCAAAGCUAUACUGUCAGAUAUGGUGGCUAUUUAAGCUUAAAUUUAUUAAAAUGAAAUGAGUAAGCAUUCAGUUCCUCAGCUGUACUAGCCACAUUUCAAGGCUUGACAGUCACAUGUGACUACCCUGUUGGACAGCACAAAAUGCAACAUUUGUAUCAUCACAGAAAUUGAUGGGACACCUAAGGGCUUGGGAGGCUGAGGCAGAUGGCUUGCAAGUUCAAAGCCAGCCUCAGCAAUUUAGCGAGGCCCUAGGCAACUUAGACUCUGUCUCUAAAUAAAAAAUUAAAAGGGCUGGGAAUGUGGCUCAGUGGUUGAUCAUCCCUGAGUUCAAUCCCUGGUACAAAUAAAGAGAAGAAAGAAAUUGAUGGGAGAGUGCUGCCCAAAUAACUAAGUCUCCUGAGUCCCUAGACUUAGGGGAUCGAGGUUAUAGAACUAGGAUUGGCACCAAUCAAACAUAGCCAGGAACCAAGUAUUCAGGGUCUCUGUUACCCCUUUCUAUGUGAUUGCCUUCCCCACCCGGUCCCUUACCAUUUUUCUUAAGCUAGCUCUUCCCUUUCCAUCCAAAACUCCUCAGAAAAGACUUUGAAGAAACUUACUCAUAUUCAGUCCUUCAAAACCCAACUCAAGGGGCUGCGGUUGUAGCUCAGCAGUAGAGCAUUUGCCUAGCAUGUGUGAGGCACUGGGUUUGAUCCUCAGUCCCACAUAAAAAUAAAUCAAUGAAACAAAGGUAUUGUGUCCAUCUAUAACUAAAAAAUAUAAAUAAAAAUAUUUUUCCAAAAAGUCUCCUCUGAGAAGCCUCCCUAGCCUGACUCAGGCUCCUGUGAUACGCCCAAGCUUAGCUGCUUCCUCCCCUAUGCUCCCAAAGACUUGGGAUCUGUUUAUCUGUCCAACUGUUCCACCAAAUCAUGAGUGGACUCUACCAGAAACUGCCGUGUCUCUCCUCACAAGCCAGUGCCUGAGAGUAGCUGGCAUACAGUAGGUGUGCCAUAAACGUGGAUCAAAUGGUUAGUACUGA